rnacentral:rRNA from 1 species
GCCCAGACUCCUACGGGAGGCAGCAGUGGGGAAUAUUGGGCAAUGGGCGCAAGCCUGACCCAGCAGUGCCGCGUGAAGGAAGAAGGCCUUCGGGCUGUAAACUUCUUUUAUCAGGGACGAAGGAUGUGACGGUACCUGAUGAAUAAGCUCCGGCUAACUACGUGCCAGCAGCCGCGGUAAUACGUAGGUGGCGAGCGUUGUCCGGAUUUACUGGGCGUAAAGGGAGCGUAGGCGGACUUUUAAGUGAGAUGUGAAAUACUCGGGCUCAACUUGAGUGCUGCAUUUCAAACUGGAAGUCUAGAGUGCAGGAGAGGAGAAUGGAAUUCCUAGUGUAGCGGUGAAAUGCGUAGAGAUUAGGAAGAACACCAGUGGCGAAGGCGGUCUGCUGGACAGCAACUGACGCUGAGGCGCGAAAGCGUGGGGAGCAAACAGGAUUAGAUACCCUUGUAUC